GGGCGAUUAACUCAGCGGUACGAGUGUCACCUUGACACGGUGGAAGUCGGCGGUUCGAUCCCGCCAUCGCCCA
rnacentral:tRNA from 1 species